UAAUUUGAAACUUACUUUUGCUAUUUAAAUUUCAUAUUCUUGUAUCAUACCCGUCAUUUGAUAUUUAAAUGUUAAAAUUGAAUUUAAAUUUCCAAAUUUUUUAUAUCUUCUUGUUUUUGAUGAGAAAUAGUUUAGGUACUUUUUUUUUUUGAAUUACCCGUUCCCUUUUUAUACCCGUUAAUUCCCUCUAAGAUAUGAUCGUAAUUUUUCUUUUAUAUCAAUGAAAUCAGUUACAUGUUUUUUUAAAAAA
rnacentral:lncRNA from 1 species